rnacentral:tRNA from 1 species
GGUGAGAUCAGGUUGGACCACCUUCACGGGACUUAAAAUCCGUUGUCCGUAAGGACGUGCGGGUUCGACUCCCGCCCUCGGCACCA